rnacentral:ncRNA from 4 species
GUUUCCGUAGGUGAACCUGCGGAAGGAUCAUUAC